rnacentral:lncRNA from 1 species
GAUUUCUACCUCAUGGGGCUGCUGUUUAACAGUCUCUUUCUCUGUUCUGCAGCACACUGGGCUACUUUGGCUUUGUUGCUGUACAUUACAGACACUCAUUGUUCCCUAUCUGUCGCAUUGUCUCCCUUAAUUCCCACAGGCAGAGCCUGCACGUAGCACGUACAUGCUUCCGGGCGGUGUUUAGUCUCUCUGUCUCUCCAGAAAGCUGCAUGUUUGCUGCCUGUCUGUCUUCAUACUCAUCCCCAAAUGCAGAGUAAUUGGAUCAACUUUUUGGACACAGUCUGUCAAUCUACUGCUGCAAGACACAAAACUCACUGUCUGUGGGGAAGAGGUGGAGUGAAAUCCUAUUGUGCUUUUUCCAGCUAAUCUGAUCCUGAUCUUUUUCUGCAGAAGAAAGGCCUCAAGAAACAGAUGUGUGCUGUGCAGGGAGGCAGCUAACACCACUGCGGUGGAGCGGCAAAGCAGCUGAAUUCACAGGCAGCUGAAGCCUGCUGAGUUUCCUACACAGUUCCCAGACCUCAUUAACAUCUCUCUUGGACUUGGUGCUGACAUGUCUCUGCUGCUGCAGAAGGUACUCGUGCUGUGCUGACCACUUGAUGAGCACUGGGGAGCUGCAGUGAGGCAGGUAAUGCAGAACCUGCUUUUGGAAUCUCCAUGAGCAAGGCCUGGGGCUUGCUGAAGGCCUCUAGCCCUGGUCACCGCUCUGUUAUGCCCUGUGGAACAGACGAUGGACAGGGGAAGGUCUUAGGGUGAGAGGAAAUUUCCCCAUCCACAUGUCUAGGCAUCAAGAGUUCCUGUCGGCCAGCUAAUUAGCAACUGCCUUCCUAGAUUAUGAAUCCAUGUUAGCCUUUGCUCCUCUCUCACAUUACAGUAGCCUCCCACCUUGACAGUAAUGAAACAAAGCCAUCAAAGGAGAUCAAAGCAGAGUAGUUUUGAAACUGCUGUAUAUUUAAUGGGAAACUUCUCCCAUUUCUACCUUGUAGGGUGUGAAAGAACCUAUUUGUAAACUCCUUGGUGUUUCUGGUCAGUUAGAGUAAUAAAUGUCAUGCAAUGUGAAUGUGUUAUUUAAUGAACCACAAUGGCUGGCAGAGCAGUAAUUCCCCAAUAGCUUCAAAAUAUGCUUAACAAAUUAUUGCCUCAGUCCUGCAGCGACGCAAACGCACAUAUGAACAACCUCACACUCAUGCAUUGCCCAUGGAGCUCAAAAAGAUUAUUUCCUUGCCUUGGCUGAAGUGUGGGAUUUUGUCUGACCGCAUGGCCAGAAAGGGGUGUUCAGCUGCUGCACC